rnacentral:rRNA from 1 species
GAUGAACGCUGGCGGCGUGCCUAAUACAUGCAAGUCGAGCGAAUGGAUUAAGAGCUUGCUCUUAUGAAGUUAGCGGCGGACGGGUGAGUAACACGUGGGUAACCUGCCCAUAAGACUGGGAUAACUCCGGGAAACCGGGGCUAAUACCGGAUAACAUUUUGAACCGCAUGGUUCGAAAUUGAAAGGCGGCUUUGGCUGUCACUUAUGGAUGGACCCGCGUCGCAUUAGCUAGUUGGUGAGGUAACGGCUCACCAAGGCAACGAUGCGUAGCCGACUGGGGAUGGUGUGCGGCCGAACUGGGGCUGCGCCCCGGCCAAGACUCCUACGGGAGGCAGCAGUAGGGAAUCUUCCGCAAUGGACGAAAGUCUGACGGAGCAACGCCGCGUGAGUGAUGAAGGCUUUCGGGUCGUACAACUCUGUUGUUAGGGAAGAACAAGUGCUAGUUGAAUAAGCUGGCACCUUGACGGUACCUAACCAGAAAGCCACGGCUAACUACGUGCCAGCCGCCGCAGUAA